UUCCGGUUGAUCCUGCCGGACCUUACUGCUAUCGGGGUGGGACUAAGACAUGCGAGUCGAGCGUCUCUAGCUAUGUUGAGACGCGGCAGACGGCUCAGUAACACGUGGCUAACCUACCCUCAGGACGAGGAUAAACCCGGGAAACUGGGGCUAAUACUCGAUAGGUGAGAAUGUCUGGAAUGAUUUCUCAUUCAAAGGGCUUUAGAAACAUGCUUCUAAAGUCGCCUGGGGAUGGGGCCGCGUCCGAUCAGGUUGUUGGUGAGAUAACGGCUCACCAAGCCUAUAACCGGUACGGGCCGUGAGAGCGGGAGCCCCGAGAUGGGUACUGAGACAACGACCCAGGCCUUACGAGGCGCAGCAGGCGCGGAACCUCCGCAAUACACGAAAGUGUGACGGGGUUACCCAAAGUGUUCAAUUUGAACUGUGGUAGGUGAGUAAUGUCCCCUACUAGAAAGGAGAGGGCAAGGCUGGUGCCAGCCGCCGCGGUAAAACCAGCUCUUCAAGUGGUCGGGAUAAUUAUUGGGCUUAAAGUGUCCGUAGCCGGUUUAGUAAGUUCCUGGUAAAAUCGGGUAGCUUAACUAUCUGCAUGCUAGGAAUACUGCUAUACUAGAGGGCGGGAGAGGUCUGAGGUACUGCAGGGGUAGGGGUGAAAUCUUAUAAUCCUUGUAGGACCACCAGUGGCGAAGGCGUCAGACUGGAACGCGCCUGACGGUGAGGGACGAAAGCCAGGGGAGCGAACCGGAUUAGAUACCCGGGUAGUCCUGGCCGUAAACGAUGCAUACUAGGUGAUGGUACGGCCAUGAGCCGUAUCAGUGCCGUAGGGAAACCGUUAAGUGUGCCGCCUGGGAAGUACGGUCGCAAGGCUAAAACUUAAAGGAAUUGGCGGGGGAGCACCACAAGGGGUGAAGCCUGCGGUUCAAUUGGAUUCAACGCCGGG
rnacentral:rRNA from 1 species